GAGGGUAUAGCUCAGUGGUAGAGUACAUGCCUAGCAUGCACAAGGUCCUGGGUUCAAUUCCGAGUACCUCCA
rnacentral:tRNA from 1 species